rnacentral:rRNA from 1 species
UGGCGGCAGGCCUAACACAUGCAAGUCGAACGGUAACAGGAUGUGCUUGCACAUCGCUGACGAGUGGCGGACGGGUGAGUAAUGCUUGGGAAUUUGCCUUUGCGAGGGGGAUAACAGUUGGAAACGACUGCUAAUACCGCAUAACGUCUACGGACCAAAGGGGGCUUAGGCUCCCGCGUGAAGAGAAGCCCAAGUGAGAUUAGCUAGUUGGUGAGGUAAGGGCUCACCAAGGCGACGAUCUCUAGCUGUUCUGAGAGGAAGAUCAGCCACACUGGGACUGAGACACGGCCCAGACUCCUACGGGAGGCAGCAGUGGGGAAUAUUGCACAAUGGGGGAAACCCUGAUGCAGCCAUGCCGCGUGUGUGAAGAAGGCCUUCGGGUUGUAAAGCACUUUCAGUUGUGAGGAAGGGUUGAUGGUUAAUACCCAUCAUCAUUGACGUUAGCAACAGAAGAAGCACCGGCUAACUCCGUGCCAGCAGCCGCGGUAAUACGGA